GGGCAAUUUUCCUGUGAUUUCUGGAUGCUGUCCUUUCCCAGGAGACAACUGGCCCAAGGCUCAGUAUAACUGUGAUGGCAAUGGGGACCUUCUAAUUGUCUUGGAAGAAGAUACUAAGUAUAUUGUCAUCAGAUAGAUACUUCAUAUGGAUUAGUGAUUAAUGCUCCUUACUGUAACUGGAAUAGCUACAUGCCUACUAAUGCACUUCCAAAUAUUCCCAAAGAUGGCUGUGAAGACACUCUCCAGAUUUGCAUUCAGAAGUAAUUUUUGAACCAGCUGUGUGAUAUCACCCAAACUUGAGAAAGAAAAGGGUCUGGAAGACAGCAAAGGAGGAAGACCAGGAACCGUGUCGCAAACACCCUGCUGGUGAGUGCAGUGGGACCCCACCGAGCAGAGUUCUUGGCCU